UCUAGUAUAGCAUUAUACAGCGAAACUGCGAAUGGCUCAUUAUAUAAGUUAUCGUUUAUUUGAUAGUGCCUUACUACUUGGAUAACCGUGGUAAUUCUAGAGCUAAUACAUGCUGAAAGCCCCGACUCACGGAGGGGCGUAUUUAUUAGAUUAAAAACCAAUGCCCUUCGGGGCUCCUUGGUGAUUCAUGAUAACUUCUCGAAUCGCACGGCCUUGCGCCGGCGAUGGUUCAUUCAAAUUUCUUCCCUAUCAACUUUCGAUGUUUGGGUAGUGGCCAAACAUGGUGGCAACGGGUAACGGAGGGUUAGGGCUCGACCCCGGAGAAGGAGCCUGAGAAACGGCUCCUACAUCCAAGGAAGGCAGCAGGCGCGCAAAUUACCCAAUCCCGACUCGGGGAGGUAGUGACAAUAAAUACUGAUGCAGGGCUCUUUAGGGUCUUGCAAUUGGAAUGAGUACAAUUUAAAUCCCUUAACGAGGAACAAUUGGAGGGCAAGUCUGGUGCCAGCAGCCGCGGUAACUCCAGCUCCAAUAGCGUAUAUUAAAGUUGUUGUGGUUAAAAAGCUCGUAGUUGAACCUUGGGCCUGGCCGUCCGGUCCGCCUCACCGCGUGCACUGGCACGGCCGGGCCUUCCCACCGCGGAAUCGCAUGCCCUUUACUGGGCGUGUCGGGGAAGCGGUACUUUUACUGUGAAAAAAUUAGAGUGCUCUAAGCAGGCCUAUGCUCGAAUACAUUAGCAUGGAAUAAUAGAAUAGGACAGGCGUUCUAUUUUGUUGGUUUCUAGGACGUCUGUAAUGAUUAACAGAAACAAUCGGGGGCGUCAGUAUUGCAUCGUCAGAGGUGAAAUUCUUAGAUCGACGCAAGACUAACUACUGCGAAAGCAUUCGCCAAGGGUGUUUUCAUUAAUCAGGAACGAAAGUUAGGGGAUCGAAGACGAUCAGAUACCGUCGUAGUCUUAACCAUAAACUAUGCCGACUAGGGAUCGGGCGGUGUUAAUUUUUGACCCGCUCGGCACCUUACGAGAAAUCUUAAGUGCUUGGGCUCCAGGGGAG
rnacentral:rRNA from 1 species